UACGAAGGGUGCAAACGUUGUUCGGAAUUACUGGGCGUAAAGCGCGUGUAGGCGGCUUGGCAAGUCGGAUGUGAAAGCCCAGGGCUCAACACUGGAAGUGCACUCGAAACUGCCGAGCUGGAGUCCCGGAGAGGAAGGCGGAAUUCUCGGUGUAGAGGUGAAAUUCGUAGAUAUCGAGAGGAACACCUGUGGCGAAGGCGGCCUUCUGGACGGUGACUGACGCUGAGACGCGAAAGCGUGGGGAGCAAACAGG
rnacentral:rRNA from 1 species